UGGCUGAGUGGUUAAGCGCUUGGCUUUCGAACCAAGGGCCCCGGGUUCAAAUCUUGG
rnacentral:tRNA from 1 species